rnacentral:rRNA from 1 species
GACGAAGGUGGCUAGCGUUAUUCGGAUUCACUGGGCAUAAAGCGCGCGUAGGUGGCCUCAUAAGUCCGCUGUGAAAGUCAAAGGCUCAACCUUUGAAAGCCGGUGGAUACUGUGAGGCUAGAGUACGGAAGAGGCGAGUGGAAUUCCUGGUGUAGCGGUGGAAUGCGCAGAUAUCAGGAGGAACACCAAUAGCGAAGGCAGCUCGCUGGGACGUUACUGACACUGAGGCGCGAAAGCGUGGGGAGCGAACAGG